CACCGCCUGGGGAGUACGACCGCAAGGUUAAAACUCAAAUGAAUUGACGGGGACCCGCACAAGUAGUGGAGCAUGUGGUUUAAUUCGAAGAUACGCGCAGAACCUUACCAACACUUGACAUGUUCGUCGCGACUUUAAGAGAUUAAAGUUUUCGGUUCGGCCGGACGAAACACAGGUGCUGCAUGGCUGUCGUCAGCUCGUGUCGUGAGAUGUUGGGUUAAGUCCCGCAACGAGCGCAACCCUCACUUUUAGUUGCCAUCAUUUAGUUGGGCACUCUGAAAGAACUGCCGGUGAUAAGCUGGAGGAAGGUGGGGAUGACGUCAAGUCCUCAUGGCCCUUACGUGUUGGGCUACACACGUGCUACAAUGGUAUCUACAACAGGAAGCAAAACCGCGAGGUUAAGCAAAUCCUUAAAAGAUACCUCAGUUCGGAUUGCACUCUGCAACUCGAGUGCAUGAAGCUGGAAUUACUAGUAAUCGUGGAUCAGCGUGCCACGGUGAAUGCGUUCCCGGGUCUUGUACACACCGCCCGUCACACCAUGGGAGUUGGUUCUACCUUAAGGCAAGGCAUAAAACCCUUGACCACGGUAUAGUCAGCGACUGGGGUGAAGUCGUAACAAGGUAGCCGUAGGGGAACCUGCGGCUGGAUUACCUCCUUUCUAAGGAUGAACAAUAAUUAAUAAUUUUUGUUCUAAAAAAUAUACAUAGGCUAAUGUUGACCGUCCUCAUUUCUCUUCUUAAUUAGUGUUUCUCUUGCAUGGGGGCCGGUAGCUCAGUUGGUUAGAGCACACCCUUGAUAAGGGUGGGGUCGAAAGUUCGAGUCUUUCUCGGCCCACCAAUUAAGAUUAAGGGGGAUUAGCUCAGCUGGGAGAGCGCCUGAUUUGCAUUCAGGAGGUCAGCGGUUCGAUCCCGCUAUCCUCCACCAAACACUUAGUUAUAAAAAAUUGUAAAUAAAAAUAAUUAAUAUCAAUAUCUAUAUCCGAACAUUAACGAUGUUAUUAGUUGAUGUUCAAAAUAAAAAUUUGAUUCAACACAGAAUUUUUUUCUG
rnacentral:sRNA from 1 species